ACCACUAUAACAGAAUUAGAUUAUAGAAAUACAUAUUUGAAACACUUUUGUGUAAGUGUCCCAUUUAUACUAAAACUUUUUUAUAAAAAUUUACUAAGGCCUAAAUAUAAAACUCAAUCCAAUCAAAAAUAAAAAGUUUCUCUACCCAACCAACCCCACCGAGCCUACUUGGCCCGAUUAUAAAUAGAAAAGGAAAAAAAAAAAAUUGGUCACCAUCUCCCCUUCUCCUUCUCUACUGCCGUAGUCGACGAUGUAGGGUUCCGGCGGCUGGAAUUCGACCGCAAGGAUCUCGUAGAGACCGUAGAGGGCUACGAUUGCCACGUGUCUCUCCGCCAUAGGUCACUAGAGGAGUGAGUGCCAAACAUUAAGGCGGUCCUACAUAUAGCGAUCCCAUAUAUAGCAAUACUUUUGAAAAGUGUCGGUAAUUUAGCUAACAGUAUAUUUUUUGACCUGUAUCGAUAUUUAAAAGUGUCGCCAUACACUUUUUUUUGUAGUGCCCCAAUCCUUUUUCCGAGAGGACUACAGAAAAUAUAUUAUAAUAUGCAGAACGUGAUAUACGUACAGAAAACAUUCAGCAAUUUCCUUUCAAUCCUACUCUU
rnacentral:lncRNA from 1 species